UAUAAAUGGAUGAAUGAAUGAAUACGAAUUUAUAAAUGAAUAAUUAAAGACAAGAAAAUUUUGAUUUGCAGAAAACUAUGUGUCUGCAGUGCUAGCGUUUUAGUCAGGCGCAACAUAGACACCUGCGCCACCUGCGCGUCGGCGCCCAAGUGCACAACGUCGUCACUCACUGUAAACAAUGAUGAGCCAUUUGACAUGUCAAAAAAAAGGAUAUAUCCCUCUGGGGCCGAAAAGAGAACAAAGAAAAGGACCGAGGAUGAGAAAAAAGAGCAAGAUAAAGGAACACUGUUGAAGUACUUUGGAGCACAACCAACUCCACCCGCCCCUGAUGUUUCAUCAAGUGUCAGUGUCUCCACAGCUGAUGAUGCAGCAGAUGAGGUUUUUCUUGUUGGCCAAUGUUAACAUUCCAUAGCCUGUUAAUAUGACAUGACACAUUGAAGAAUAAAGUAUUUUAUUUAAGUAUA